rnacentral:rRNA from 1 species
GAUGAACGCUAGCGGCAGGCCUAAUACAUGCAAGUCGGACGGGAUUCAGGAGCUUGCUUCUGAUGAGAGUGGCGCACGGGUGCGUAACACGUAUGUAACCUACCUUUAUCAGGGGGAUAGCCUCUCGAAAGAGAGAUUAAGCCCGCAUAAAAUCACAGCACAGCAUUGUGUAAUGAUCAAAUAUUUAUAGGAUAAAGAUGGGCAUGCGGAACAUUAGCUAGAUGGCGGGGUAACGGCCCACCAUGGCGACGAUGUUUAGGGGAUCUGAGAGGAUGGCCCCCCACACUGGUACUGAGACACGGACCAGACUCCUACGGGAGGCAGCAGUAAGGAAUAUUGGUCAAUGGGCGGAAGCCUGAACCAGCCAUGCCGCGUGCAGGAAGACGGCCCCACGGGUUGUAAACUGCUUUUAUACGGGAAUAAACCCAGAUACGUGUAUCUGGCUGAAUGUACUGUAAGAAUAAGGAUCGGCCAACUCCGUG